UAAAGAAAACCCAAUCGGGGCAGGCGGGAAGCACUCCAGCCUCCUUGCAAGCUUGGGGCACCUCAUUCUCUCCCGUGCCCCUUCUCCCAGCUGGGUCUGAGCCCCCGCCCCCCGGCUCCUCCGUUCCGCUUCUCCCAGCUUCUCUCUCCAUCUACCCCGAUGGCCUCUUUCUACACUGUCUGCCUCAGCUUCCAGGUCUCUGCUGGUCCCUAGGAAGCACUUUGACCUCUGCUUCCCCUUCAAAUGCUGUGGAUCAAGCCUCCCCCAACCCCACCAUCCCACCAAAGGGGGCUGCUGACCAAGAGAGCUCACUCAGUCAGAUGUCCCACCAAUGGCCGAGUGCCAGUCAGUCACGGCCUCAGUGCAAGACCUCGUCCCUCCCAGAAAGCCGUGGCUCCGGACUCCACCCACUGAAAACAGGGCUUCUGUGGGACUGCAACGGGACACGAAGAAAAACAUGCUGAACCUGGUCUCCAUGGGACCUGAGGUGCGAGUCACAUUCAUUCACAUCCCUGGCUUGGAGCCUCUCCACUCACAAGUUAUUGAUAAUUGAGAAAAUAAAACAACAUGCGAUCGUA